AGUUCGGAUUGUAGUCUGCAACCGACUACAUGAAGCUGGAAUCGCUAGUAAUCGCGGAUCAGAAUGCCGCGGUGAAUACGUUCCCGGGUCUUGUACACACCGCCCGUCACACCAUGGGAGUCGGAAAUGCCCGAAGUCUGUGACCUAACCGUAAGGAAGGAGCAGCCGAAGGCAGGUCGGAUGACUGGGGUGAAGUCGUAACAAGGUAAC
rnacentral:rRNA from 1 species